UGACCUAUGGUGUAAUGGUAGCACAACAGUCUCUGGAUCUGUUUGUCCAGGUUCGAAUCCGGGUAGGUCAACCA
rnacentral:tRNA from 1 species